ACACCGCGCCUAAACCGAGUAAGUAUGUUCGAAAAGGCAGUCAGGUGUUUUGCGGAGAACCCAACUGAAAAUGUGAUGACACUGGUUCUUGGCACUACUUUCAACUCUGGCGAGGCAUACAAUUUCUACAGUUUGUGUUCAUGGGAAAAGGGGUUUGCCAUCCGGUACGGCAAGAGCCGGCUAAAUUUCGAGAGGACGAAGUGCAUGCAGGAGAUAGUUUGUGGGUGCUUGGUUAAUGACUAA
rnacentral:rRNA from 1 species